AGUCGAGGGGCAGCGCAGUGUAGCAAUACAUGGGCGGCGACCGGCAAACGGGUGCGGAACACGUACGCAACCUUCCUUCAAGCGGGGGAUAGCUUUCGGAAACGAAAAUUAAUACCCCAUAGCAAUGUCUGAUGGCAUCUGAAGACAUUUAAAGAUUUAUCACUUGAAGAUGGGCGUGCGCCUGAUUAGGUAGUUGGCGGGGUAACGGCCCACCAAGCCUGCGAUCAGUAACUGGUGUGAGAGCACGACCAGUCACACGGGCACUGAGACACGGGCCCGACUCCUACGGGAGGCAGCAGUAAGGAAUAUUGGUCAAUGGACGCAAGUCUGAACCAGCCAUGCCGCGUGGAGGAUGAAGGUCCUCUGGAUUGUAAACUUCUUUUAUCGGAGAAGAAACCCCUGAAUUCUUUUAGGGUUGACGGUACCCGAUGAAUAAGCACCGGCUAACUCCGUGCCGGCAGCCGCGGUAAUACGGAGGGUGCAAGCGUUAUCCGGAUUCACUGGGUUUAAAGGGAGCGUAGGUGGGCUGGUAAGUCAGUGGUGAAAUCUCCGGGCUUAACUCGGAAACUGCCGUUGAUACUAUCAGUCUUGAAUGUUGUGGAGGUAAGCGGAAUAUGUCAUGUAGCGGUGAAAUGCUUAGAUAUGACAUAGAACACCGAUAGCGAAGGCAGCUUGCUACACAAUUAUUGACACUGAGGCUCGAAAGCGUGGGGAUCAAACAGGAUUAGAUACCCUGGUAGUCCACGCCCUAAACGAUGGAUACUCGACAUACGCGAUACACAGUGUGUGUCUGAGCGAAAGCAUUAAGUAUCCCACCUGGGAAGUACGACCGCAAGGUUGAAACUCAAAGGAAUUGGC
rnacentral:rRNA from 1 species